GAUCCUGGCUCAGGACGAACGCUGGCGGCGCGCCUAACACAUGCAAGUCGAACGAGAGAGAAGGAGCUUGCUUCUUCGAUCGAGUGGCGAACGGGUGAGUAACGCGUGAGGAACCUACCUCAAAGAGGGGGACAACAGUUGGAAACGACUGCUAAUACCGCAUAAGCCCACGGGUCGGCAUCGACCUGAGGGAAAAGGAGCAAUCCGCUUUGAGAUGGCCUCGCGUCCGAUUAGCUAGUUGGUGAGG
rnacentral:rRNA from 1 species